rnacentral:lncRNA from 1 species
CCAGAGUUGACUACAGGCAUAUUAUUUCUAAAUCUAAUGAUCAUGAUGAUAUACAUAUACAAUUUUAUAAACACAAGAAAAGAGGGUAAUUAGAGAAAAAUUGUACUAGAAAUGAACAAUUAGUUGGAGAGUCCUAGUUUAAAACUAAAAAGAACUUUUUCGGGUUAAUACCAAUUAAAAAAUAAUCGACAAACACGGUAUUUUAAGUCAC